AAUUUACUAGCUUUAGAUCAGGUGGGAUAGCUUUAGGCUAUAGAUCACAGUAUGCAAAAUUUAUUCAUUGUAUAGAAACAGAUUGUCCUUUUGUUUUAUGGUUUAGAGUAGAUAGAAUAUUAUUUAGAACUGAAGAUGAUAUAAUAAUGGGUAUAGUGUAUAUCCCGCCUGAAAAUACUCGUUAUACGUCUGAAAAUGCGAUGUCAGAAAUUGAAAUAGAAUUUCUUGAAAUUACAAAAGAAUAGUAACUGUAUUUUUCUUCUUGGUGAUUUCAAUAGUCGCACUGCAAAUGAACAAGAUUUUUUUAAUAUAUCUGAUUUCGAAGAACAUUUAACCGAUAUUAUAGAUGUAAAUGAGUUUAAUGACAUUCAUGUCUUAGACGAUC
rnacentral:lncRNA from 1 species